AUAUUUUCUGCGUCGCUUCCGUUUUGCUUCUCCUCCUUCGUUUCCCAACUGCCUGGCGGCGUGUAGUCGGCCAUUAUUCAUCGUCCGAGUCCAGCAGUUGAAGUGUCGCUCUCGUUGGAAAACUGAAAAUUAAACAUCAAAAAUUCAAUGAAGAAAACAGUAUUGAAAAAUACAUUUUCGACGUUUGUACAUCGAAAGCGUCGAAUUUUGUACAUCGUAUAAAUUUUGAGAUGAACCAAGCUUCAAGUACAAACGAGAUUGCAGUCUCUCAAAAUGGUUUCUUUUUCAUGGGAGCAUUGAUGCUGAAAAUGCUGUUGAAUGAAAAGUAUUGCAACAGACGAGAGGAAAAUAUAAAUGGCAUAAAGGUAUAUUUCAACUUGACCAGCCUUUGGAAGUAGCAGAAGAAAUAUUGCCAACUGCCUACCUGAAGAAUAUUUUACGAAAAGCUGUUACAAUAGACUCACAAUACCUUUAUAACCUUGGAAAGGAUUGAAAAUAAUUUAUUCAGGCAAAUUCUGCUUAAUCGUUUGAAGAACCAACAAAUGAAAUAAUUACCAUCCACUCUCCUGCUCAACUGAGAAGAAUUCUAAAGAAAUCCUAAUCUCUUCGUUCAAAGUAAUCUUCUAGGUGAGAUAAGCAAGUUCUUGUAUUAUUUUUCAACAGAAUUUUAAAUUCAAAAUUUUACUGUCAACUAUACUUUAAAACUCAACAAUUUUUACAAAAUAUUUCAAUUUUUUACUUAGAUAAUUAAAACAUUAAAAACUACGAUUUUAAGAAAUAUAAUUUUGCGAAUAAAAUGCAACCAUAAGGAUUAAAAAAUCAUACAAUCUAAAAAAAACUAAGUACUAAAAACUAAUUAUACUCAUCGUUAGUAACAUUUGGAUGAAGACUAAACUUCAUGAAGAGGGUCCCUAUGUUGGUAGAACAAACAUAGACCAAAAUGACUUAAAGUCAUUAUUGAAGAUAAUUUGCAAAAAAAAAAUUAUUACAAACGGAAAUUAAAAGAGCUUACUUUGAAUAUAUCAAAAAAAGGAUUCUCAUUUAUUACUUUCACUUAAUAAUUUUUAUCUUCACAAAAUUAGACCUACUGGCAUCAUUGACUCUAGUAGAUUAUUUAUCAGUAAAUUCAAAGAUGCUAGUUUUCAUAAAAUUUAAAAAUUAAUAAUCAAAUUCUAGAUGUAAUUUGUAAAAAAAAUGUUACAAACGGAAUUUUAAAAAUGUUAUUUUGCAACAAUUGUUAGAAAAUCAUUUUUCCUGUAUACUUUCAAUUUCUAAGUUUUAACUUUUAACUUUUUUAACUGUUGAAAAACUUUUGCAAAAACAAUUUGCAAACAAAAAUUAUUACAAACGGAAAUUAAAGAGACAAAUGGUGAAUAUAAUUUUAAAAUAUCAUUCUUCCAGUGCUUUACUUAAUUUUUAACUGCUGGAAGAAUUAUAAUAAAAAUUUAAAGUGAAUUUAAUUUUCAAAGAAACAAUGAUUGCUAACGGAAGUUAAAAGAAAAUAAAUAAAUUAAAAUUUAAAGAAUCAUUUUUUCUCAAUUAUUUCACUUAAUAAUUUUUAUUAUUAAUUACUCUUAUUAAUGUGACACUUUCAUGAUUCUCUCACAUAUCACCCAGAUACAAAUUGAAAUAGUCUAAAUAUAAAAGCCGAUAGAAUUCAUUGUUUCUAUUCUUGUCUCUCUAUGGAGCAAAUUGCUACAUAAAUAUGUAUCUCUACAAAAUA